rnacentral:rRNA from 1 species
UGGUGCGGUUGAACCGUGGUAAAACUCGUCUCCGUAGUUGAGCGUGCUUGGGCGAGUGUAGUAUUAGGAUGGGUGACCUCCUGGGAAGUCCUCGUGUUGCAUUCC